UGUGUGUGAGUGUGUGUGUGUGUGUGUCCUUCUGGAGAUGCAGUUACAGGCGUCUGUAAGCGUGUGUGCCCCUCAUCCCCGGAACUGAACUCCGGUCCUCAAAAACAGCAGCCGGUACCCUUAACUGACCCCACACAGGAGGAGCUUCCUGAGCCGGGCUGCCCACCGUCUGCAUGGCUGCGUUGGGUGAACCCUGGAGAGACAAAGCCCCAGGGGCUUCAUCCCGGGAUUGCUUCUUGCUGUUGCUCUGCCUGCUCGUGUUUGUCAUUGCCGCAUUCUUCAUUUUUCUGACAUAGUGUGACUGGUUGUCAUUCAUUGGCAGUGGUAGAAAGUUCUGGAACUUAAUCAGUGGUGACCAUGCUUCAGCCUCUGGAAGACCUGGACUCCAAGCACCUGAUUUUAUGAAAAGCUGUCUAGGAGGUAGGCCCUGGCCUCCUCCAGUGUGGCUGUGGUGACCCUCCCUGCAGCUGUGAUCCCCCCACCCUGCAGCUGUGGUCCUCCCCUGCAGCUGAGUUGUUCCCCCUGCAGCUGUGAUCCCCCCACCCUGCAGCUGUGGUCCUCCCCUGCAGCUGAGUUGUUCCCCCUGCAGCUGUGAUCCUCCCUGCAGCUGUGAUCCCACUUGCAGCUGUGGUCCUCCCCUGCAGCUGUGAUGUUCCUCCUGCAGCUGUGAUCCCCCCACCCUGCAGCUGUGGUCCUCCCCUGCAGCUGAGUUGUUCCCCCUGCAGCUGUGAUCCUCCCUGCAGCUGUGAUCCCACUUGCAGCUGUGGUCCUCCCCUGCAGCUGUGAUCCCACUUGCAGCUGUGGUCCUCCCCUGCAGCUGUGAUGUUCCUCCUGCAGCUGUGAUCCCCCCACCCUGCAGCUGUGGUCCUCCCCUGCAGCUGAGUUGUUCCCCCUGCAGCUGUGAUCCUCCCUGCAGCUGUGAUCCCACUUGCAGCUGUGGUCCUCCCCUGCAGCUGUGAUCCCACUUGCAGCUGUGGUCCUCCCCUGCAGCUGUGAUGUUCCUCCUGCAGCUGUGAUCCCCCCACCCUGCAGCUGUGGUCCUCCCCUGCAGCUGAGUUGUUCCCCCUGCAGCUGUGGUCCUCUCCCUGAAGCUCUCCCAAGGCGACUCUGGCUAUCUCAGUGCAGCAGCAGGAAGAAAUGGCACAGAGUUGCUGUGGUGGUGGGCGUUGUGUCGUUCCCCUGAAGGGAGGGGAGGUGUGAAGUACAGCUGACUGGGGACGAUGAACAAAUCAUGAAAACUCAGACUUGUGGCCACAUCACAGCUCAUCUGAGUGUAAAGUCAGAAAUAUAACGGGACUGCAAUUA
rnacentral:sRNA from 1 species